rnacentral:lncRNA from 7 species
UGAGUACUCAGGCUUCAAAACAGCAAGCCACUUCCAGAACUAUUCCAUCAUUUGUGAAGCAUGUCUGAAAGCAUCUACAGGUAAGAUAACUAUAAUAAAAUUAUUUACGUAUUUGUUGAGACGUAUUUGUUUUAGAGGACACACGCAAAAUAAUUAUUAAAAUAAUAAAAAUCCAGCACUUCUAAGCUUGCUUCUACUCCUGUAGAAACAUGUUAUUCAAGGACAUUUAUACAUCCAAGCUGCGAGGAAGACAGUUCCAGACUUGUCUAACCUGUGCCCCCAUCUCUAACUGAAGAAUUAAAUAUUACACACUCUGACAGGUCCACACAAGCAUCUAUUCUAGGUUGUUUUGUUUUUUUCACCUUAACACAAAUCUCUUCAAGAUUUCUUGAAGUCUUUAUCUUCCAUGCUCACAUACUGGCUAUAUUCCACCAGUACAGAAGAAAGACUAAUUUGUAACAUUUUUCUUGGAUUGACUUUUUUGUGGAUUAGUUGUGGCAUGUACUCAUUACAGAAAUGUGCCAUUAUACACGUUGCAUACUUUGACUUCCAUUGUGUUUUAGGUUGCUGUCUGUUAGCAUACAUGAAACCAUGCUAAGUAACUGUUUGCUUAUUAUGAAGACACAGGGGAAAUUUAUAGAGUAGAAAAUUCUUGUCUUACUCAUCCUUCUUCCCUUUCCAGAACUCUUGGGUUUUUAAAUUCAAGACAAGAAUAUCAAGCAUGUAUUUCUACAUCUUGGAAUAUAACGUAGGACUUCUAGCAUAUGCAACAACACAGCCAUAGAAGAAUAUUAUCUAAAAAAAUGAGUAUGUCAUAUAAUAAAACAACAUAUUUUGCAAAUAUGUAUCUGCUAUUGGUUUAGCACUUCUUCUGAAAGAUGUAUUUUUCAGAUAGCUUGUGUUUUCCUGACCAGGCACUCAUAGGCAGUGCUUUUACAUUAAAUUUUUACAUGAUAUAUAUGUAUGUAUUAAUAAGAAUCUGAGAACAAAAAGCUGUAUUUACUUUCAUGAAUACAACUUGUGACUGGAACCAGAAGGAAUGCCACAGUCCAAGAAAGUCAUCUUGCUGUGCUUUUUUCUUACCUAAGAGAGCUCUGGUUUUGAACAUGGGUGAGAUGGCCAAAGAAAUACUGGGACUAUUAUCUUCUAAUAACUUCUGUCUAAAUGACAAUUACUACAAACCUGGUUCAUGUCAGAUGAAAUGCAAUAUUCUUUGCAGUGACAUGGUUCAAAAGAAAAGGUUUAAAAUCUGUGAAUGUUCCAGUCCUGUAAAAAGCAUUUCUAUCAGGCAGCAUUCACUUUAAGACAAUCUAUAGCUUUUAAUUCUUAAAAAAAAUACAUUUUUUUUUCUCUAAUGCAUACAUACAGCCCCUCUUCAGCUUUUUCAGAGUGAUGCUGUGUUAAUCUAGUGAAGGUCAGUCUGAGAAAACUCAACUAACAAAGAAAGUGCUCUUAUGAAUCGUAUCACGUCAUGUCAGGCUCACAGAUAAAUGGGCAUUAGCUAUAGAUUGAGAUACUUACCAGUUCAUCAAAUUCCUUCAUAUGUCUGGUAUUUUAUCUUGGAUUAUGUACCAUUGGGUUCAAUUUAAUAUUUUGUAAGUUAUUAGUUUGUAAUUGUUUUCAUAUAUUUGUACAUUAAAUACAGAAGGAGUGGGUGUAAUCUGAAGCACAACUGAAUUUUCUCUCCCUCUGCUACAAUAUAGAUAAUCAUGAUUUAUUAUGAUAGGUAGUAAUUUGCUUGCAAUGAAUCAUAUUUUAUCAAGAAGCAAAAUAAGUAUUUUUAUCUCUGAAGAAUUCUCUGUGCUUUUUUUCCCCUUCUUUGUGUUUCAUUUGUAACUUUUCUUUAUGGCUUAGGAGUUUCAUGACUCAGAGAGACACUAGAGCACAGCUCAAAUUUUGGACUGUAUGUUUUAAAGACAAUGUGAGAUUAAAUAGCCAAGAUAAUGGAAGAGUGAACAGAUUUACACAUCCUUACUUCUCUAACUGUUUCUGAUCUUCGGGGUAAUGUUUGUCACACCACCAUUCAGAGUAUUUGGAAAGUAGCCUGACUCACGUUUUGGCAUGACUAUAAGGAGACCUGUGUCCUAUGGCUGUCUCCCAUUUUGUUUCUUCAAAACACUUUUGUGUCUUCACUUCAUCUUGGCAGCGAGGUCUUGAUCCAUACUGACAACGAGAACAUUGGAAUUCAUUCUCCUUAAAAAAUAAACAAACAAACAACAACAACAAGGGAGUGGGAAGGAUUUUCAUUCAUGACUGACUGGGAGACUGGGAAAGCUGCAGCUAUCUGCAGUGACUGCACUGGAAAGACACCUGAGAAUAAAACAAAAACCAUGAAGAGAUUCAUGGUGGGGAAUCACCUGUAUCUAUCCAGUCUUCACUGAGAAAGCACACAGAAGUUAUUUCACCUGUUGACCU